UGCCUGCCCGGUGACACUUGUUUAACGGCCGCGGUAUCCUGACCGUGCAAAGGUAGCAUAAUCAUUUGUUCUCUAAAUAGGGACUUGUAUGAAUGGCCACACGAGGGUUUAACUGUCUCUUACUCCCAAUCAGUGAAAUUGACCUUCCCGUGAAGAGGCGGGAAUACCACAAUAAGACGAGAAGACCCUAUGGAGCUUUAAUUAACUAACCCAAACUUAUGGAUACUAGAUACCUACAAGGCAUAACAUAACACCAUUAUUAUGAGUUAGCAAUUUAGGUUGGGGUGACCUCGGAAUAUAAAAAAACUCCCGAGUGAUUAAAAUUUAGACCCACAAGUCAAAAUACAACAUCACUUAUUGAUCCAAUAAUUUUUGAUCAACGGAACAAGUUACCCUAGGGAUAACAGCGCAAUCCUAUUCAAGAGUCCAUAUCGACAAUAGGGUUUACGACCUCGAUGUUGGAUCAGGACAUCCUAAUGGUGCAGCAGCUAUUAAGGGUUCGUUUGUUCAACGAUUAAAGUCCUACGUGAUC
rnacentral:rRNA from 1 species